rnacentral:lncRNA from 1 species
ACCACUACGAAUAUAAGAUUUAUAAGCAUCUUUACACUGAAUAGAUAAUAUUUUUGGUAAAAUAACAUCUUUACAUUAAAUAUAGUUUCUGUCAAUCAUUGUUUUAAAAUAUGCAAUGGACUAAAUACAUAUGAAAAGAAGUUUAAUAAAUAUCCAUACAUAAUUUUGACGUACAUGUUGCCAAAAAAGAAAAGAAAAUAAAAAAGUUUGUUAAUAUUACAUUUUCACCAUAUAUUAAAUUUAGACAUACAUGUUGCUAAAAAGAAGGAAAAAAACAUUUAGACCU